AAAGGAUAAACCUUCAUGUGACUCGAGGAGUGACAAGGUCCCUGGAAUGCCUAAGAAGACAUUAGGGCCCAUCUCAGGCGUCAUUUUGAUCCUCCUCAUCCUGUCUUCCCAUACUCAUUGCCAUAGCUCGUUCGACUCCAACCUUACUCACAGAAUAAGCUGAAAUUUUCUCUCCUCUCACUGGGAAGUCUCAGGUUCUUGUAAGGUACACUCGCCUCCUUAUACUAUCCCACUCACAAUUUUGGUCACUUCUCUAUUUUGAU